rnacentral:rRNA from 1 species
UUUUUUGAGAGUUUGAUCCUGGCUCAGGAUGAACGCUGGCGGCGUGCCUUAAGCAUGCAAGUCGAAUGGGUCGAGCAAUCGACCAAUGGCGGACGGGUGAGUAACGCGUGGGUAUCUUCCUGGAAAUGGAGUAUAGCCCCGAGAAAUCGGGGGUAAUUCUCCAUAAUAUCGCAAGAUUAAAGAUGUAAAUCGUUUCCAGAUGAACCUGCGUCCUAUCAGCUUGUUGGUGGGGUAAUGGCCUACCAAGGCGACGACGGGUAGCUGGUCUGAGAGGAUGGUCAGCCACAACAGGACUGCGACACGGCCUGUACAUCUACGGAUGGCAGCAACUAGGAAUAUUGGACAAUGGACGAAAGUCUGAUCCAGCGACGCCGCGUGGAGGAUGAAGGCCCUCGGGUUGUAAACUCCUUUUACGGGGGAUAAUUAUGAUAGUACCCCGCGAAUAAGCACUUGCUAACUACGUGCCAGAAGCCUCGGUAAUGCGUAGAGUGCAAACGUUAUCCGG